rnacentral:rRNA from 1 species
GACAGAGGGUGCAAACGUUGUUCGGAAUUACUGGGCGUAAAGCGUGUGUAGGCGGCCUUGCAAGUCGGAUGUGAAAGCCCCCGGGCUCAACCCGGGAAGUGCACCCGAAACUGCAAGGCUUGAGUAUCGGAGAGGUUGGUGGAAUUCUCGGUGUAGAGGUGAAAUUCGUAGAUAUCGAGAGGAACACCGGUGGCGAAGGCGGCCAACUG